rnacentral:rRNA from 1 species
AAAAAAGUAGCGAAGUCCGUGAGCCAUGCGUCAAGAAAAGCCGCUAUUGUUUGUACCGUACCCGUACCGUAAACCGACACAGGUGGAUGAGGAGAGAAUCCUAAGGCCGGCGGAAGAAGCAUUGUCAAGGAACUCGGCAAAAUGGCCCCGUAACUUAGGGAUAAGGGGUGCCUGGGAAACCAGGCCGCAGAGAAUAGGCUCAAGCAACUGUUUAGCAAAAACACAGGUCUAUGCGAAACCGAAAGGUGAGGUAUAUGGGCUGACGCCUGCCCGGUGCUGGAAGGUUAAGAGGAGAGGUUAGCGGUAACGCGAAGCUUUGAAUUUAAGCCCCAGUAAACGGCGGCCGUAACGAUAACGGUCCUAAGGUAGCAAAAUUCCUUGUCGGGUAAGUUCCGACCCGCACGAAAGGCGUAAUGAUUUGAGCGCUGUCUCGACAAUGCAUCCGGUGAAAUUGAAGUACCAGUGAAGAUGCUGGUUACCUGCGCCAGGACGGAAAGACCCCAUGGAGCUUUACUCCAGUCUGGUACUGGGACUCGGUAUUGCAUGUACAGGAUAGGUGGGAGGCUAGGAGAUGGUAACGCCAGUUGCCAUGGAGCCGCUGUUGGGAUACCACCCUUGCAGUAUUGGGUUUCUAACCAGCCGCCGUGACCCGGCGGUGGGACAAUGCCAGACGGGGAGUUUGACUGGGGCGGUCGCCUCCGAAAGGGUAUCGGAGGCGCCCAAAGGUUCCCUCAGAAUGGACGGAAACCAUUCGAAGAGUGCAAAGGCAGAAGGGAGCUUGACUGCGACACCGACGGGUGGAGCAGGUACGAAAGUAGGGCUUAGUGAUCCGGUGGUAUUAAGUGGGAAUGCCAUCGCUCAACGGAUAAAAGCUACCCUGGGAUAACAGGCUUAUCACUCCCAAGAGUUCACAUCGACGGAGUGGUUUGGCACCUCGAUGUCGGCUCAUCGCAUCCUGGGGCUGUAGUAGGUCCCAAGGGUUGGGCUGUUCGCCCAUUAAAGCGGUACGCGAGCUGGGUUCAGAACGUCGUGAGACAGUUCGGUCCCUAUCCGGCGUGGGCGUAGGAUAUCUGAGAGGAGCUGUCCUUAGUACGAGAGGACCGGGAUGGACGGGCCGCUGGUGCAUCGGUUAGACUGCCAAGUCUACGGCCGAGUAGCCAAGCCCGGAAGGGAUAAACGCUGAAGGCAUCUAAGCGUGAAGCCCCCCUUAAGAUGAGAUAUCCCAUUCGAAAGAAGUAAACCCCCUUGAAGACGACGAGGUAGAUAGGGCAGAGGUGGAAGUGCAGUAAUGCAUGGAGCUGACUGUUACUAAUCGGGUGAGGGCUUGACC